GCAGCCAGGUGACAGCUCACAGUCUUCAGUGGCUCCCUAUAAUUCCCAGAAUGACGAGGAUGGAGUUGGCUGUGACCCCUGCCUAUCUUCUCUGCCUAUCCUAGGUACAUCCAGUUCCAUGGAGCCGAUGCUGCAGCACAUUUGGAAAACACAGAAAAGAUGAUGAAGAAGCAGCACCCAUAAAUUCUCCCUCCACACAGCCUCCCACACCCUAUCAAGUCACUCCACACAGUAGUCCCCCUGCCCUUUACAUGUGGCAUCUGAAGCAGAGUUCAUGUCAUCUCAGAGUGACCCA
rnacentral:lncRNA from 1 species